AGUGAAGUAGGGGGCGGGGCCUCGUUUGUGAGGCAGGGGUGAAUGGAGCUGAGCUUAGUGUGGGCUGCGAGGCGGGACUCGCUAGUACAAAGGAUGGGUCCCGGAGACUUUGUAUUGGAGUAGCGGGGACGCGCACUGGAGGAGGGGGGGGACACCCGAUAUUUCGGGCUCGGAGUACCGGGAGGAUGGGGAACGCGGAAAGCGCCGGGGGGCCCCCGGGUACCGCGCUGCUGCCGCUUAAAGUCCCGAUGCCGGAGCCGGGAGAGUUGGAGGAAAGAUUCGCCAUGGUCCUGAGCUCCAUGAAUCUUCCUCCAGAUAAAGCCCGGCUCCUGCGGCAGUACGAUAACGAAAAGAAGUGGGAUCUUAUCUGUGACCAGGAGCGCUUUCAAGUGAAAAAUCCACCGCAUACUUACAUCCAGAAACUACAGUCCUUUUUAGACCCUGGUGUCACACGAAAGAAAUUUAGGAGAAGAGUACAAGAAUCCACGAAAGUUCUGCGUGAGCUAGAAAUCUCUCUCCGCACCAACCAUAUUGGGUGGGUCCGGGAGUUUCUGAACAAUGACAAUAAAGGCCUGGACGUGCUGGUGGAGUACCUUUCUUUUGCACAGUGCGCUGUCAUGUUUGAUUUUGAGGGCCUGGAAAAUGGGGAGGAUGGCUUAGUAGAAAAGUCCAAACCAUGGAGCAGAUCCAUCGAGGAUCUGCAGCAUCCCAACUCCCUGCCUACCCCUUUCGCCAACGGCCUCGCUCGCUCUGCCCGCCAGUCUGUGCUCCGCAGCUACAAUACGUUACCUGGCAAAAAGGCAUUGAAGAACUCGAGGCUGGUCAGCCAGAAGGAUGAUGUCCAUGUGUGCAUCAUGUGCCUCAGGGCUAUCAUGAACUAUCAGUAUGGCUUUAACUUAGUAAUGUCCCAUCCUCAUGCCGUGAAUGAAAUUGCUCUUAGUUUAAACAACAAGAACCCAAGGACCAAAGCUUUAGUACUAGAACUCCUGGCUGCUGUGUGCUUGGUUAGAGGAGGCCAUGAAAUCAUCCUGUCGGCUUUUGACAACUUCAAAGAGGUCUGCAAGGAAACACAUCGGUUUGAGAAACUCAUGGAGUAUUUUAGAAAUGAAGACAGCAAUAUUGACUUCAUGGUUGCUUGCAUGCAGUUUAUAAACAUCGUUGUACACUCAGUGGAGGAUAUGAAUUUCCGUGUCCAUCUGCAAUUUGAAUUUACAAAGUUGGGCCUUGAAGAUUUUUUGGAGAAGGCUAAGCACACAGAGAGCGAGAAGCUGUUGGUGCAGAUCCAGGCUUAUCUGGACAACGUGUUUGAUGUUGGUGGCUUGCUUGAAGAUGCUGAGACCAAGAAUGUUGCACUUGAGAAGGUGGAGGAGCUGGAGGAGCAAUUGUCCCAUAUGACUGAAAAGUUACUGGACCUGGAAAAUGAGAACAUAAUGCGGGUGGCAGAAUUGGAGAAAACACUCCUACACAGGGAAAAGGAACUGACAGUUCUCAAGGAAACUUAUGAGAAUGCAAAUCAUCAGGUUCACACACUAAGGAGAAUCAUCAAGGAGAAAGAAGAGGCAUUUCAGCAUCUCCGUCAGCUGGAGCAGGCCAAUACUUCCCAGCCUGCUGGCAGUACACUUCCACUUUCAGCUACCUCCAUUGGAGAUAUUUCUUUGUCUGCUGAACUUCUACCACCCCCUGCCUCUGCCUCUGUUCCUGCACCGCCCCCACCCCCUCCUCCUCCUCCACCUCCUCCACCACCACCACCACCGCCACCUCCUCCAAUGCCAAGCAAGUGCCCUCCUCCACCACCCUUACCAUCUUCUUCACCAUCUGUAAUACUUACCACAGGCUUAUCAGCAAUCCGAAUUAAAAAACCAAUCAAAACUAAGUUCCGCCUGCCGGUGUUCAACUGGACGGCCCUGAAGCCCAAUCAGAUCAGUGGAACUGUGUUCAAUGACCUUGAUGAUGAGAGGAUAUUGCAGGAUUUGGAUAUGGAUAAGUUUGAAGAACUCUUUAAGACAAAAGCACAAGGACCUGCCAUAGACUUAACAUGCCCCAAAAACAAAACAUCUCAGCGAUCUGCCAGCAAAGUGACUCUUCUUGAAGCAAACAGAGCCAAAAACCUUGCUAUCACCCUACGGAAAGCUGGAAGGAGCUCAGAAGAGAUCUGCAAAGCCAUCCAAACGUUUGACUUGCGGACACUACCUGUGGACUUUGUGGAGUGUCUGGUGCGUUUCCUGCCCACAGAAGCAGAGGUGAAGCUGCUGCGUCAGUACGAGAGGGAGCGUAAGCCUCUAGAGGACCUGUCUGAUGAGGACCGUUUCAUGAUGCUUUUCAGUAAAGUGGAACGUCUUUCCCAGCGCAUGUCCAUCAUGACCUUCUUGGGCAAUUUCAAUGAGAACCUGCAGCUGCUUACCCCACAACUAAAUGCUGUGAUUGCGGCAUCUGUGUCUGUAAAGUCAUCCCCAAAGCUAAAACAAAUGCUCGAAGUUAUACUUGCUUUGGGUAAUUAUAUGAACAGCAGCAAAAGAGGGUCGGUGUAUGGCUUCAAACUACAGAGCUUGGAUCUGCUCCAAGACACAAAAUCAACUGACCGAAAGCUCACACUCCUUAACUAUAUUGCGCUAAUUGCCAAGGAGAAAUACUCUGAAGUGGCCACUUUCUAUAAUGAGCUACAUUUUGUGGAAAAAGCAGCAGCAGUCUCUUUAGAGAAUGUCCUGCUGGAUGUGAAGGAGUUGGGUAAAGGCAUGGAUCUGAUUCGGAAAGAAAGCCAUCACCAUGAUAACACUUUCCUAAGGAACUUUGUGAGCUCUAAUGAAGGAAAACUAGACAAGCUGCAGAAAGAUGCACGAACCGCUGAGGAAGCAUAUGCAGCUGUGGUGCUCUAUUUUGGAGAAAAUCCAAAGACAACUCCGCCUUCUGUUUUCUUUCCCGUAUUUGCACGUUUCAUCAAAUCGUACAAGGAAGCUGAACUGGAGAAUGAGAUGCGCAAGAAGCAAGAAGAGGUUCUUCGAGAGAAGAUGCUAGCGCAAGAAGCAAAGAAAUUGGACCCCAAGUCCCCAGUGCAGAAAAAUAAACGCCAGCAGCAAGACCUGAUUGCAGAGCUGCGCAGAAGGCAGGCAAAAGAUCACCGGCCUGUUUAUGAAGGGAAGGAUGGAACUAUUGAGGACAUUAUCACAGUCCUGAAGAGUGUCCCCUUCACAGCGAGAACAGCCAAGCGGGGCUCUCGGUUCUUCUGUGAUACAUCCCUUUUUGAGGAUUCAAACUGUUAAACCCCAGUGCCUUAACUCGUAUGGAAAGAUUAGAACCCAGGAAGAAACACUUCUAGUUUCCAUUUUUUUGCAGAGGACCUUCGGAAUCAGCCGUAUAGGCGCGCAGAUGCAGUUCUCCGGCAUGCCUGGCGGCGAAUCUAGCACGUACAAGACCAGAAGUCUUUUGGGCUUUGCUCCAGUCUCAUCUUAGUGGCUUGGCCUAUAAUCGAGAUGGACUUAUCAGAUCUCUCUGCACUCCUUCCUCCAUUCCAUGUUUCAAAGGAAAUGAAGAAGCCAGGACACUUUAUGAAGUGCCUUAAAUUUCAGUAUUACUGGACUAUUUUUUCUUUUACUAUUUAUAUAUUUUUAUUGGUUUUUACUGUUAAUUGUGUAAAUAUUUUUGUAACGUUCUUCAUCCAACCAGUAUGUGGCAGCUGCUGUGGCAUAACUGGCCGGAAAAGGAGAAGAAAAAGAAGUGCCUUGAAAGUGUUUUUUAUAGAGUUUUUAUACGGAAGUGAAUCGACUCAACACUAAAAUUUUAUAAGACUGAAGUCUUACUCAUUGAAAAGGGCUAGUAAAUGAGAGCCUGUGUUUGGGUUAGCUUUAAUAGAGGUAUUAUUUAUCUUCUGUACUUGCUGUAUGGAUGGUAAACUAAAGGGAAAGUGCCAAAUUUAGUAGACUGCCUUAGAAAGUUGUUAGAAAGACAAGUUUCUGUGCAAGCAAAAAUAGUUCCUUGGUGGAAUACUAUAGCCAGAGAACACCCUGGUACCAGUUCCCCCCAGUGAUCGUCUGCACCAGUUCUUAUGCUCUUUCAGCUGUGUUCUGCAAUGACACUAAGUCAGGGUAUUCGUGAGUGAAGAUGGGAAGCCCUUAGCUAAUACUGUUUUCUGCUCACCAACCUUAGUUGCAACUCAGUAGCUAGCUUUUACGCUUUAGUUUUCUUACCCUGAAUAUUUUAUUUGUUUUCAUUAAUAUAAGAGUAUUUGAGCUUUUGCGGUCUUAUCUGGUUACUCCAAGUUCCACCUCCUUAGAGCACCAAGUCCUUUGUUAAAUUAUUGGGCCAUUGGUCUGGCCAUCUUUUAUGCUAUGUAGAAGCACUAGAAGCAAUGUUUAUACAAGAUGUUGCUGGGUGGACAACAAAGCAAUUUCUUAUAGAUGUUCAGAUGUAUAGUUGUCUGUAUUACAACUGAGUGGCACAAGUUUUCCUUGCUUUUGGCGAUGGCACUGAUCCUUUCCAUGUGCCACAAAGCCUAUUAAUAUUCAUAGGAUUUGUGGCACAUGGAAAUUUUCAUCUGGAAUUCUAUUUUUGUUCGUUUGAUCAAAAUGGAUAAAGUAGGAUAGGGCCAAUUGCAAUGGAACACUUGGACCUGCUCCUGGGGGAUGGGGGUUACUGAGAGGAGACCAAAUGAAUGACCCUGUGUGAUUAAGCUCAUUUGAAACAAUGAACUUAUAUUCAGUGACCAAACCAAAUCCUUCGUACUGGAAAUGCACAUUUUCUUAGUCUGCAGCUUGGCGCACUGAGCCAUGUUUAGCGUUUAAUCAUUUUGAGGCAUAUUUAUUAUAGUGUGUCAGCCAACAUCACCGGUGAUGUUGCACAUAGCAACCAAUCAGAUCUUUGCUUUCUAAUUUGUAGGUGAAUGUUUAAAUCUAAUUGCGGAUUGGUUGCUCUGAGCAACAUCACUGGUGAUAUUGGCUGACAGUAUAUAAAUAUGCCCCUUUAUGUAGUGACCAACCUGUCCUGACUGCUCUGGACCUUCCACCCCUGUAGGGGUUUUCAGUGUAAGUAAUUGGUGAUUAGGUUCCUGUCUCCUGUGUUUAGUUACAUGGGCCUAUGUUUGAAACGACCAAAUAGUCAGUGGGAUAGAUUAAGCACCUUGGGUUAUUCUUUGUGCCCUCGAGGACCAUACAAAUAUCAUCUUACAAAAUGCUUUGUAGUAUUAUGAUGCACCUUUAGCCCAAGCUAAGUACCAGAGGUUCCUGACAAGCAGGGACUCUAGGAAAUACACUAAAGUAAUGAUAUCAUGCCUCUGGCAUUCUUUGAGGCUACAAGAGUAGUUUGAAUAUGCAAUAAAUGACGUCUCCUAAUACUUUUAUUGCUGUUUAUGCCAAGGCUCUUGUAGGCAGAGCUGACUUUAGAAAUUACCUGUGUUGCUCUUGUAGAAAUUUUAGCCCUUUUUCAGAUUGAAUUUUAUCUUCGUAUUCAUGUCUAUGCCUCCACCAAACCAAGACUGCUGUUGUAAAGUCUGAUAUUGUAAAUUAUUAUUGGCUGUUCAGCAAUCAUUUAACUCUGUUACAGACCUCCAUUCCAGUGGGCAUAGUUUAAAUACCAGUUGUUUUCCCUACAUUCAUCUCUUUCAGUUAUUUUCAAUGUAUCAUUUACAGUUUAACUUGUAAGCAUUCCAUUGUAUCGCCUUCAUGUAACUUUUUUGUGCAUGUAAAAUACAUUCCUGACUUGCCAGAGAUCAGUCUGUAACUCAUUGCAAAUGAAAUCUAUGCACAGCUUUGCAUUGGGGCCCUCUCUGGCAUUGCAGGGAGGGACUGUACCUUUUUCCAGUGUAUUAAUCCUGUACAGUAUAUUAUUGCUAAUAUAAAGCCAGUACUUGUUUGCUAUGGGUUCUUUUCCUGUCUCAUUGUCAGAUUUUAAGGAAAUUGUUCUUGCUCUCUUUUUAUGUCUAGUCAACAAUAAAGAUGGAGAGCCUAACUUGCAGUUA